rnacentral:rRNA from 1 species
UACAGAGGGUGCAAGCGUUGUUCGGAAUUAUUGGGCGUAAAGGGCGCGUAGGCGGUGCGGUAAGUCUGUAGUGAAAUCUCUGGGCUCAACUCAGAGUCUGCUGCAGAAACUGCCGUGCUUGAGUGUGGGAGAGGUGAGUGGAAUUCCCGGUGUAGCGGUGAAAUUCGUAGAUAUUCGGAAGAACACCAGUGGCGAAGGCGACUUACUGGACACAUACUGACGCUGAGGUGCGAAAGCGUGGGGAGCAAACAGG